GACAGCAGUAGCCACGGUAAUACGUAGGUCCCGAGCGUUGUCCGGAUUUAUUGGGCGUAAAGCGAGCGCAGGCGGUUAGAUAAGUCUGAAGUUAAAGGCUGUGGCUUAACCAUAGUACGCUUUGGAAACUGUUUAACUUGAGUGCAAGAGGGGAGAGUGGAAUUCCAUGUGUAGCGGUGAAAUGCGUAGAUAUAUGGAGGUACACCGGUGGCGAAAGCGGCUCUCUGGCUUGUAACUGACGCUGAGGCUCGAAAGCGUGGGGAGCAAACAGGAUUAGAUACCCCUGUAGUCCCUGUCUCUUAUACA
rnacentral:rRNA from 1 species